AUGGGCGAAAGCCUGAUGCAGCGACGCCGCGUGAGGGAUGAAGGCCUUCGGGUUGUAAACCUCUUUCAGUAGGGAAGAAGCGCAAGUGACGGUACCUACAGAAGAAGCACCGGCUAACUACGUGCCAGCAGCCGCGGUAAUACGUAGGGUGCGAGCGUUGUCCGGAAUUAUUGGGCGUAAAGAGCUUGUAGGCGGUUUGUCGCGUCUGCCGUGAAAAUCCGGGGCUCAACUCCGGACUUGCGGUGGGUACGGGCAGACUAGAGUGUGGUAGGGGAGACUGGAAUUCCUGGUGUAGCGGUGAAAUGCGCAGAUAUCAGGAGGAACACCGAUGGCGAAGGCAGGUCUCUGGGCCACUACUGACGCUGAGAAGCGAAAGCGUGGGGAGCGAACAGGAUUAGAUACCCUGGUAGUCCACGCCGUAAACGUUGGGAACUAGGUGUGGGUCUCAUUCCACGAGAUCCGUGCCGCAGCUAACGCAUUAAGUUCCCCGCCUGGGGAGUACGGCCGCAAGGCUAAAACUCAAAGGAAUUGACGGGGGCCCGCACAAGCGGUGGAGCAUGUGGGUUAAUUCGAUGCAACGCGAAGAACCUUACCAAGGCUUGACAUACACCGGAAACAUUCAGAGAUGGGUGCCCCGUAAGGUCGGUGUACAGGUGGUGCAUGGUUGUCGUCAGCUCGUGUCGUGAGAUGUUGGGUUAAGUCCCGCAACGAGCGCAACCCUCGUUCCAUGUUGCCAGCAACACCUUUGGGUGGUUGGGGACUCAUGGGAGACUGCCGGGGUCAACUCGGAGGAAGGUGGGGAUGACGUCAAAUCAUCAUGCCCCUUAUGUCUUGGGCUUCACACAUGCUACAAUGGCCGGUACAAAGGGCUGCGAUACCGCGAGGUG
rnacentral:rRNA from 1 species